rnacentral:rRNA from 1 species
GGGUUGUGAGGUUAAGCGACUAAGCGUACACGGUGGAUGCCCUGGCAGUCAGAGGCGAUGAAGGACGUGCUAAUCUGCGAUAAGCGUCGGUAAGGUGAUAUGAACCGUUAUAACCGGCGAUUUCCGAAUGGGGAAACCCAGUGUGAUUCGUCACACUAUCAUUAACUGAAUCCAUAGGUUAAUGAGGCGAACCGGGGGAACUGAAACAUCUAAGUACCCCGAGGAAAAGAAAUCAACCGAGAUUCCCCCAGUAGCGGCGAGCGAACGGGGAGCAGCCCAGAGCCUGAAUCAGUGUGUGUGUUAGUGGAAGCGUCUGGAAAGGCGCGCGAUACAGGGUGACAGCCCCGUACACAAAAAUGCACAUGCUGUGAGCUCGAUGAGUAGGGCGGGACACGUGGUAUCCUGUCUGAAUAUGGGGGGACCAUCCUCCAAGGCUAAAUACUCCUGACUGACCGAUAGUGAACCAGUACCGUGAGGGAAAGGCGAAAAGAACCCCGGCGAGGGGAGUGAAAAAGAACCUGAAACCGUGUACGUACAAGCAGUGGGAGCCUCUUUUAUGGGGUGACUGCGUACCUUUUGUAUAAUGGGUCAGCGACUUAUAUUCUGUAGCAAGGUUAACCGAAUAGGGGAGCCGAAGGGAAACCGAGUCUUAACUGGGCGUUAAGUUGCAGGGUAUAGACCCGAAACCCGGUGAUCUAGCCAUGGGCAGGUUGAAGGUUGGGUAACACUAACUGGAGGACCGAACCGACUAAUGUUGAAAAAUUAGCGGAUGACUUGUGGCUGGGGGUGAAAGGCCAAUCAAACCGGGAGAUAGCUGGUUCUCCCCGAAAGCUAUUUAGGUAGCGCCUCGUGAAUUCAUCUCCGGGGGUAGAGCACUGUUUCGGCAAGGGGGUCAUCCCGACUUACCAACCCGAUGCAAACUGCGAAUACCGGAGAAUGUUAUCACGGGAGACACACGGCGGGUGCUAACGUCCGUCGUGAAGAGGGAAACAACCCAGACCGCCAGCUAAGGUCCCAAAGUCAUGGUUAAGUGGGAAACGAUGUGGGAAGGCCCAGACAGCCAGGAUGUUGGCUUAGAAGCAGCCAUCAUUUAAAGAAAGCGUAAUAGCUCACUGGUCGAGUCGGCCUGCGCGGAAGAUGUAACGGGGCUAAACCAUGCACCGAAGCUGCGGCAGCGACACUAUGUGUUGUUGGGUAGGGGAGCGUUCUGUAAGCCUGUGAAGGUGUACUGUGAGGUAUGCUGGAGGUAUCAGAAGUGCGAAUGCUGACAUAAGUAACGAUAAAGCGGGUGAAAAGCCCGCUCGCCGGAAGACCAAGGGUUCCUGUCCAACGUUAAUCGGGGCAGGGUGAGUCGACCCCUAAGGCGAGGCCGAAAGGCGUAGUCGAUGGGAAACAGGUUAAUAUUCCUGUACUUGGUGUUACUGCGAAGGGGGGACGGAGAAGGCUAUGUUGGCCGGGCGACGGUUGUCCCGGUUUAAGCGUGUAGGCUGGUUUUCCAGGCAAAUCCGGAAAAUCAAGGCUGAGGCGUGAUGACGAGGCACUACGGUGCUGAAGCAACAAAUGCCCUGCUUCCAGGAAAAGCCUCUAAGCAUCAGGUAACAUCAAAUCGUACCCCAAACCGACACAGGUGGUCAGGUAGAGAAUACCAAGGCGCUUGAGAGAACUCGGGUGAAGGAACUAGGCAAAAUGGUGCCGUAACUUCGGGAGAAGGCACGCUGAUAUGUAGGUGAAGUCCCUCGCGGAUGGAGCUGAAAUCAGUCGAAGAUACCAGCUGGCUGCAACUGUUUAUUAAAAACACAGCACUGUGCAAACACGAAAGUGGACGUAUACGGUGUGACGCCUGCCCGGUGCCGGAAGGUUAAUUGAUGGGGUCAGCGCAAGCGAAGCUCUUGAUCGAAGCCCCGGUAAACGGCGGCCGUAACUAUAACGGUCCUAAGGUAGCGAAAUUCCUUGUCGGGUAAGUUCCGACCUGCACGAAUGGCGUAAUGAUGGCCAGGCUGUCUCCACCCGAGACUCAGUGAAAUUGAACUCGCUGUGAAGAUGCAGUGUACCCGCGGCAAGACGGAAAGACCCCGUGAACCUUUACUAUAGCUUGACACUGAACAUUGAGCCUUGAUGUGUAGGAUAGGUGGGAGGCUUUGAAGUGUGGACGCCAGUCUGCAUGGAGCCGACCUUGAAAUACCACCCUUUAAUGUUUGAUGUUCUAACGUUGACCCGUAAUCCGGGUUGCGGACAGUGUCUGGUGGGUAGUUUGACUGGGGCGGUCUCCUCCUAAAGAGUAACGGAGGAGCACGAAGGUUGGCUAAUCCUGGUCGGACAUCAGGAGGUUAGUGCAAUGGCAUAAGCCAGCUUGACUGCGAGCGUGACGGCGCGAGCAGGUGCGAAAGCAGGUCAUAGUGAUCCGGUGGUUCUGAAUGGAAGGGCCAUCGCUCAACGGAUAAAAGGUACUCCGGGGAUAACAGGCUGAUACCGCCCAAGAGUUCAUAUCGACGGCGGUGUUUGGCACCUCGAUGUCGGCUCAUCACAUCCUGGGGCUGAAGUAGGUCCCAAGGGUAUGGCUGUUCGCCAUUUAAAGUGGUACGCGAGCUGGGUUUAGAACGUCGUGAGACAGUUCGGUCCCUAUCUGCCGUGGGCGCUGGAGAACUGAGGGGGGCUGCUCCUAGUACGAGAGGACCGGAGUGGACGCAUCACUGGUGUUCGGGUUGUCAUGCCAAUGGCACUGCCCGGUAGCUAAAUGCGGAAGAGAUAAGUGCUGAAAGCAUCUAAGCACGAAACUUGCCCCGAGAUGAGUUCUCCCUGACUCCUUGAGAGUCCUGAAGGAACGUUGAAGACGACGACGUUGAUAGGCCGGGUGUGUAAGCGCAGCGAUGCGUUGAGCUAACCGGUACUAAUGAACCGUGAGGCUUAACCUUACAACGCCGAAGCUGUU